rnacentral:rRNA from 1 species
GGUUGAUCCUGCCAGUAGUCAUAUGCUUGUCUCAAAGAUUAAGCCAUGCAUGUCUAAGUAUAAGCAAUCUAUACUGUGAAACUGCGAACGGCUCAUUAAAUCAGUUAUAAUUUAUUUGAUGGUACCUUACUACAUGGAUAACUGUGGUAAUUCUAGAGCUAAUACAUGCACAAAAGGCCCUUUACGGGGUUGUAUUUAUUAGAUAAAAGACCAAUGGCUUCGGCCUUGAGGUGAAUCAUGAUAACUGCUCGAAGCGCAUGGCCUUGUGCCGGCGCUGCAUCAUUCAAAUAC